rnacentral:rRNA from 1 species
UACGUAGGGAGCAAGCGUUGUCCGGAAUCAUUGGGCGUAAAGCGCGCGUAGGCGGCCCCGUAAGUCCGCUGUGAAAGUCAAAGGCUCAACCUUUGAAAGCCGGUGGAUACUGUGGGGCUAGAGUCCGGAAGAGGCGAGUGGAAUUCCUGGUGUAGCGGUGGAAUGCGCAGAUAUCAGGAGGAACACCAAUAGCGAAGGCAGCUCGCUGGGACGGUACUGACGCUAAGGCGCGAAAGCGUGGGGAGCGAACGAGGA